rnacentral:tmRNA from 1 species
GGGGGUGAAAGACUUGACGGAGACUAGACCAAUCGUAAGCAGGCUGAGCAUUCUCGAAUCUCAUAAAACUUCGGGAAACAAUAAGUGCUAACUUAUUUACAAGCAAACAGCUUGAACCAGUUUACGCUUAAAACCGUAAGCCAUCCGUCUCGUUGAUUCUCGAUAAACGAAAACGGGUGUCAUAGUAUCGAGAUAGGUAAUUCUUUCGGCCAAAGGAAUUAUUGAAAAAUUAGGCCAAACAUAGAAAGAUUUUGCCCAGUUUCAACUUUCUAUCGUAAACAAAUUGGGAUAAGCUUGUAGAAUUAUUAUCGGAAUAAUCUUCGGACGGGAAUUCAACUUCCCCACCUCCACAC